rnacentral:rRNA from 1 species
GACGAACGCUGGCGGCGUGCUUAACACAUGCAAGUCGAACGGAAAGGCCCUUCGGGGUACUCGAGUGGCGAACGGGUGGGUAACACGUUGGUGAUCUGCCCUGCACUUUGUGAUAGGCUGGGGAACUCGGUGUAAUACCGACGAGGACCCCGCCUCUCACGGUGUGUUGUGGAAAGGUUUUGCGGUGUGGGAUGGGCCCGCGGCCUACGAGCGUGCUGGUGGGGUAAUGGCCUACCAAGGCGACGACGGGGAGCCGGCCUGAGAGGGUGAACCGCCACACUGGGCCUGAGAUACGGCCCAGACUCCUACGGGAGGCAGCAGUGGGGAAUAUUGCACAAUGGGAGCAAGCCUGAUGCAGAGACGCCGCGUGAGGGAUGACGGCCUUCGGGUUGUAAACAUCUUCCACCAGGGACGAAGCGGAAGUGACGGUACCUGGAGAAGAAGCACCGGCCAACUACGUG